CAACAUGAGGAUUUGAAGAGACAUCUAAACCAUGGUACCCUGAGAGGGCAGAGAUAGGACCCUGGCCCUUUACAGCAGCCAAUCUCAAAAUCCAGGGCCUUAUUAGACAACGAUUUCUCCUCAGCAGACCUAGGCGGGCAUUUUACAUCUGAUUGGACAGCCCGGUUCAGCACCCAGCGCUUUUCCUAGGAACUGUAGUGCCUAUGGGAUUCUAUGUUUGCUGAUGGCACUCAGACGCCAGGAAAGGAGUGGAUAUCACCUGACUAAGAAGACUCGGAAACGGAAACGCUGCUCACAACAAAACAGGGAGACUCUGGUGGAGGUUCAAGGAAUGUGGAGCAGUCCCUCAUUCCCUGGAGAAAAUGGGAGCAAUGGCGUCCUCUGGUGGUCAUUUAAAGUUCUGCAUGCAAUGUCAAUUUCCUCACUUCCAAAGACUGUUGACCUUGUAUGUGACCCUUCCAAGCAGGUUUGGGAGAUUGAUUCUCAACACAGGUGUCCCUAAUCGGGAACCCAAGUCUCAAGGGCAUUUGUGAUGUCCUAUAUAUAUGUCAGACAUCUGAAAGAGUCAGUACUUCCUUAUUCAUCCGACUGUAUCCAUGAGGCUGUGAUGAGAUACCACGUUGAGUCAGAAAGUAAGCACCAGAUGUAGAUCCUUGGCAAGAUGACUGUAUGGGCUUGGACAUUACCCUGAAAGUAAGGACCAGCAUCUUUCAAUGGUAGUGGGAAGCCUUGGGACUUACUGGAAAGAAGUGGAUGUAGACACCUCAACCUGGGCUUCUUCGUGUUGACUCAUUUUAAUCACCUUGAGCUUGAGUCUGCUGAUUUGGGAGCUUGUGUCUUUCACCCUAAGUCCUUGGUCUCUGUGCGGUUUGUGCCCUGUGUUUCCGGAGCCCCUUCUCUUUUCAGGUAUCUCCCAGGCCACUUGGACUUGCUUUGUUUUGAUUCCUGCCAGCCACAGGAAGAGGACAGAAGACCCCUUCCACUGAAGGCUGUCUCCUGGAAGGUGCACCCGUUACUUCCACAGACAUCUUUUAACUCAGAGCUUUGUGCUUGACCCCUGGUGCCUGCACAGGAGGCUGGGAGAACACCAUCUUCAGCUGAGAGGAGGUGUGCUAGACUAAAAUUCAGUUGCUGAAGAAGGAAGGAGAGGAACGGUGGGUGCUAGCUCGACCUCUCUGCCACCUGUGUUCCCACUGAAAGUGCCUAUCUAAGAACCAGUGUCACCAGUGAGCUAGAGUUAAGUGUAUCCUCCCCCAUGUCCUUGUGAUGUUUGCAGCCUCUUUUCUUACGGUUUCCUCGGCAUCUUGAGAACAGAACUCUGUUUUAUGCACUCUUGUCUUUCUCAUUGUUCUACCCCCCUUUUUUGGUACAGGAGAAAGUGUGUUAAACUUAGCAGUGG